CCCGCUGAACUUAAGCAUAUCAAUAAGCGGAGGAAAAGAAACCAACAGGGAUUGCCCCAGUAACGGCGAGUGAAGCGGCAACAGCUCAAAUUUGAAAUCUGGCGCAAGCCCGAGUUGUAAUUUGCAGAGGAUGCUUCAGGGCAGCGACCGGUCUAAGUUCCUUGGAACAGGACGUCGUAGAGGGUGAGAAUCCCGUAUGCGACCGGUUGGCACCCGUCACGUAGCUCCUUCGACGAGUCGAGUUGUUUGGGAAUGCAGCUCUAAAUGGGAGGUAAAUUUCUUCUAAAGCUAAAUACCGGCCAGAGACCGAUAGCGCACAAGUAGAGUGAUCGAAAGAUGAAAAGCACUUUGGAAAGAGAGUUAAAAAGCACGUGAAAUUGUUGAAAGGGAAGCGCAUGCAACCAGACUUGUCGGCGGUGUUCCGCCGGUCUUCUGACCGGUCCACUCGCCGCCGGCAGGCCAGCAUCAUCUGGGCGCGCCGGACAAAGGCGCGGGGAAUGUAGCUCCUCGGAGUGUUAUAGCCCCGCGCACAAUACGGCGCCGCUCGGGUGAGGUCCGCGCUUCGGCUAGGAUGCUGGCGUAAUGGUUGUCUGCGGCCCGUCUUGAAACACGGACCAAGGAGUCUAACAUCUAUGCGAGUGUUCGGGUGUCAAACCCCUACGCGGAAUGAAAGUGAACGGAGGUGGGAAGCGCAAGCUGCACCAUCGACCGAUCCUGAUGUCUUCGGAUGGAUUUGAGUAAGAGCAUAGCUGUUGGGACCCGAAAGAUGGUGAACUAUGCCUGAAUAGGGUGAAGCCAGAGGAAACUCUGGUGGAGGCUCGCAGCGGUUCUGACGUGCAAAUCGAUCGUCAAAUUUGGGUAUAGGGGCGAAAGACUAAUCGAACCAUCUAGUAGCUGGUUCCUGCCGA
rnacentral:rRNA from 1 species